GGGAUCAGCUCGGUCCCCCUCUACGUGCUGCUGUCGAUCCCGCUGUCGGUUCGAUCUUAGACUGGGAAUGAACUCCGUAUGCUUAGACUGGGAAUGAACUCCGUAUGCCUAAGUCAACCCAUGAAACGAGCAUACGGGCGUUGAGCCGGUUGGAGAGGCAUAAUACGCAAGCUGAGGAUCGGUCCGAUCCCCUUCUAUAUGUUGAGAAUCCCGCUACCGAUCGAGCUACCACAAACCUUGGUUCACCUGGGGCUUAGACACGGAAUGAACUUCGUAUGCCUAAGUUAACCCACGAAACGAACAGGCGGGCACUACGUCGGCCAGAGAGGCGGGAUGCACAAGCCAUGGAUCUAUCGGGUAGUAGGUGGGUUUAGGCACAUCUUCAUAUUUCUACGAUUCCAAUGCCAUUUUUAUGGCUUGUAAAUUCAUACAAUGGUCUCCUAAGCCUUCAUGUGAAGUUUCUUGGCAAGAUGACUCGUUUUCUAUUUUUCAUGAUUUUCAAAACUUUUUACGGUUUGGGAUUUUUUAAAAUUAUUUUAGAAGGAGUUUUAGCCCCAAAUUUUGUAGACAUGAUCCUUCUAUUUUUUUUGGCAUGCACAAAAAAAUUCAGCUAAAAACUCAAAGUGCAGAAGAUUUUGUGACCAUUUCAGAUACUUGAAUGGCUACUGGCAGCAAACCUGUAAAAUCUUAAAUGCUCUUUAAGGGGGUGUGAGUUCUUGAGGUUUGAUGAGGGAUAGGGGGCCAAUAUAAGGGCCAAGUACCAGCACCCAUCGCACAUCAUGUGCGUACACCCCCCGGCCCCCCAAUCAUCGGAAUGCUAAUGCCAUCGGUCAGGUUCUCCGGUCAUGCUCUGACGAUGCUGCCCCGAGCAAAAAAAAUAUGGCACCAGCACAUGCCCGAGCCCAAGAUGUGCACCGUGGCUCAAAAUCAAACUUCGACCAAGGCUUCAAGCAUCAAUGGCACAUGAUGGCACAUGGUGAUGGCACAUAAAUCGACCAUCAUCGGCACAGGCUGCCCUUUGGUACGGGCACUUGCCUCGACCGCCAUCAGCAUAAGAUAGGCCUUGGUGCAGGCGGUUGCCUUGAUCACCAUUGGCACGUGCUGGCCCUUGGUGCGGGUGGUUACCUUGACCACCAUCGGCAGAAGAUAGGCCCUGGUGUGGGCGGUUGCCUCGAGCACCAUUGGCACAUGCUGGGCCUUGGUGCAGGCGGUUGCCUUGAUCACCAUCGGCACAUGCUAGGCCCUAGUGCGGGCAGUUGCCUCGAACACCAUAGGCACAUGCUGGGCCCUGGUACGAGCGAUUGCCUCGAGCACCAUCGGCACAUGCUGGGCCCUGGUGCAGGCGGUUGCCUCGAGCACCAUCGACAAACGCUGGGCCUUGGUGCGGGCGAUUGCCUCCAGCACCAUCAACACACGCUGGGCCCUGGUACGGGCGAUUGCCUCAAGUACCAUCGGCGGUUGCCUCAAGCACCAUCGGCACACGCUGGGCCCUGGUGCAGGCGUUUGCCUCGAUCACCAUCGGCACAUGCUGGGCCCCGAUACGGGCAGUUACCUUAAACACCAUUGGCACACGUUGGGCCCUGGUGCUGGCGAUUGCCUCGGUCGGACCCCCCACACCCCGUCGGACACCCCGCAUCCCUCGAUCGAUGCUCAUGUCGUGACCCCAGGUCAGGCGGGAUCACCCGUUGAGUUUAAGCAUAUCAAUAAGCGAAGGAAAACAAACUUACCAGGAUUCCCCUAGUAAUGACGAACGAAUCGAGAAGAGCCUAGCUUGAGAAUCAGGUGCCCUCGACGUUCGAAUUGUAGUCUGGAGAAGCGUCCUCAGCGGUGGAUCGGGCCCAAGUCCCUUGGAAAGGUGCAUCGAAGAGGGUGAGAGCCCUGUUAUGCCCAGACCUUGUCGCACCACGAGGCGCUGUCCAUGAGUUAGGUUGUUUGGGAAUGCAGCCCCAAUCGGGCGAUAAAUUUCGUCCAAGGCUGAAUACGGGCGAGAGAUAGAUAAAGAACAAGUACCACAAGGGAAAGAUGAAAAGGACUUUGAAAAGAGAGUCAGAGAGUGCUUGAAAUUAUCGAAAGGGAACCAGAUGGGGGCCGACGAUGCACCCCGUCGGAUGUGGUACGGUGAGAGCCGAUCCAUCGAUCGGCUUGGGGUGUGGACCGACGCGGGUCGCGACAGCAACCCAAGCCCAAGCUUUCAAUGUGCUCGCGGAGACAUCAUCACUAUGAUCAUCGAACACAGCAUGCGUCAUCUCGGCGUGCCUCGACACAAGCAUUCUCCAAGCAUUGGCCUACAGGCUCCCCAUCCGACCCAUCUUGAAACACGAACCAAAAAAUCUAACAUGCGUGCGAGUCAACGGGCCAGAAAACCUGUAAAGUGCAAGGAAGCUGAUUGGCAGGAUCUCUCACGGGUGCACCACCGAUCGACCUUGAUCUUCUGAAAAGGGUUUAAGUGCAAGCAUGGCCAUCGACACCCGAAAGAUGGUGAACUAUGCCUGAGCAGGGC
rnacentral:lncRNA from 1 species